rnacentral:rRNA from 1 species
UACGUAGGGGGCAAGCGUUGUCCGGAAUCAUUGGGCGUAAAGAGCGUGUAGGCGGCCCGGUAAGUCCGCUGUGAAAGUCAAGGGCUCAACCCUUGAAUGCCGGCGGAUACUGUCGGGCUAGAGUCCGGAAGAGGCGAGUGGAAUUCCUGGUGUAGCGGUGAAAUGCGCAGAUAUCAGGAGGAACACCUACGGCGAAGACAGCUCGCUGGGACGGUACUGACGCUGAGACGCGAAAGCGUGGGGAGCAAACAGG